CGUCUCAGUUCGGACUGUGGUCUGCAACCCGACCACACGAAGCUGGAAUCGCUAGUAAUCGCGAAUCAGAAUGUCGCGGUGAAUACGUUCCCGGGUCUUGUACACACCGCCCGUCACACCAUGGGAGUCAGCAACGCCCGAAGUCAGUGACCUAACCGAAAGGGAGGAGCUGCCGAAGGCGGGGCCGGUAACUGGGGUGAAGUCGUAACAAGGUAAC
rnacentral:rRNA from 1 species